UUUAUGGAGAGUUUGAUCCUGGCUCAGGAUAAACGCUGGCGGCGUGCCUAAUACAUGCAAGUCGAGCGAACGGACGAGAAGCUUGCUUCUCUGAUGUUAGCGGCGGACGGGUGAGUAACACGUGGAUAACCUACCUAUAAGACUGGGAUAACUUCGGGAAACCGGAGCUAAUACCGGAUAAUAUUUUGAACCGCAUGGUUCAAAAGUGAAAGACGGUCUUGCUGUCACUUAUAGAUGGAUCCGCGCUGCAUUAGCUAGUUGGUAAGGUAACGGCUUACCAAGGCAACGAUGCAUAGCCGACCUGAGAGGGUGAUCGGCCACACUGGAACUGAGACACGGUCCAGACUCCUACGGGAGGCAGCAGUAGGGAAUCUUCCGCAAUGGGCGAAAGCCUGACGGAGCAACGCCGCGUGAGUGAUGAAGGUCUUCGGAUCGUAAAACUCUGUUAUUAGGGAAGAACAUAUGUGUAAGUAACUGUGCACAUCUUGACGGUACCUAAUCAGAAAGCCACGGCUAACUACGUGCCAGCAGCCGCGGUAAUACGUAGGUGGCAAGCGUUAUCCGGAAUUAUUGGGCGUAAAGCGCGCGUAGGCGGUUUUUUAAGUCUGAUGUGAAAGCCCACGGCUCAACCGUGGAGGGUCAUUGGAAACUGGAAAACUUGAGUGCAGAAGAGGAAAGUGGAAUUCCAUGUGUAGCGGUGAAAUGCGCAGAGAUAUGGAGGAACACCAGUGGCGAAGGCGACUUUCUGGUCUGUAACUGACGCUGAUGUGCGAAAGCGUGGGGAUCAAACAGGAUUAGAUACCCUGGUAGUCCACGCCGUAAACGAUGAGUGCUAAGUGUUAGGGGGUUUCCCGCCCCUUAGUGCUGCAGCUAACGCAUUAAGCACUCCGCCUGGGGAGUACGACCGCAAGGUUGAAACUCAAAGGAAUUGACGGGGACCCGCACAAGCGGUGGAGCAUGUGGUUUAAUUCGAAGCAACGCGAAGAACCUUACCAAAUCUUGACAUCCUUUGACAACUCUAGAGAUAGAGCCUUCCCCUUCGGGGGACAAAGUGACAGGUGGUGCAUGGUUGUCGUCAGCUCGUGUCGUGAGAUGUUGGGUUAAGUCCCGCAACGAGCGCAACCCUUAAGCUUAGUUGCCAUCAUUAAGUUGGGCACUCUAAGUUGACUGCCGGUGACAAACCGGAGGAAGGUGGGGAUGACGUCAAAUCAUCAUGCCCCUUAUGAUUUGGGCUACACACGUGCUACAAUGGACAAUACAAAGGGCAGCGAAACCGCGAGGUCAAGCAAAUCCCAUAAAGUUGUUCUCAGUUCGGAUUGUAGUCUGCAACUCGACUACAUGAAGCUGGAAUCGCUAGUAAUCGUAGAUCAGCAUGCUACGGUGAAUACGUUCCCGGGUCUUGUACACACCGCCCGUCACACCACGAGAGUUUGUAACACCCGAAGCCGGUGGAGUAACCUUUUAGGAGCUAGCCGUCGAAGGUGGGACAAAUGAUUGGGGUGAAGUCGUAACAAGGUAGCCGUAUCGGAAGGUGCGGCUGGAUCACCUCCUUUCU
rnacentral:rRNA from 1 species